UGGUGGAGUGAUUUGUCUGCUUAAUUGCGAUAACGAACGAGACCUUAACCUGCUAAAUAGCCCGGCCCGCUUUGGCGGGUCGCCGGCUUCUUAGAGGGACUAUCGGCUCAAGCCGAUGGAAGUUUGAGGCAAUAACA
rnacentral:rRNA from 1 species